rnacentral:rRNA from 1 species
GACGAACGCUGGCGGCGUGCUUAACACAUGCAAGUCGAACGGAAAGGCCCUGCUUUUGUGGGGUGCUCGAGUGGCGAACGGGUGAGUAACACGUGAGUAACCUGCCCUUGACUUUGGGAUAACUUCAGGAAACUGGGGCUAAUACCGGAUAGGAGCUCCUGCUGCAUGGUGGGGGUUGGAAAGUUUCGGCGGUUGGGGAUGGACUCGCGGCUUAUCAGCUUGUUGGUGGGGUAGUGGCUUACCAAGGCUUUGACGGGUAGCCGGCCUGAGAGGGUGACCGGCCACAUUGGGAGGGAGAUACGGACCAGACUCAUACGGGAGGCAGGAGGGGGGAGUGUUGAACAAUGGGCGGAAGCCUGAUGGAGCAAGCCCGGGUGCGGGAUGACGGCCUUCGGGUUGUAAACAGAUUUCGCCUGUGACGAAGCGUGAGUGACGGUAAUGGGGAAAGAAGCACCGGCUAACUACGU